rnacentral:misc_RNA from 1 species
GUCAAAGCCUUAGAAGAUAUCAAUGUAUAAGGUGUCACAUGUACAAAUAAUUUAGUAAUGAGAACAAUACCGCGUCAAUCCUUUGUGUGUUACUGCUACUUUUUCUAUUGAAUAGUGCAACACGAAAAAAACAGCAACAAAAAGGCAACUAAAAAUGUUUGAGUGAUAGUCUUGAAAACAACAGGUGCUGCUAAGUUCGAUUUAUUUAUCUCUACAAAUAAUAUAUUUGCAUUUUACAAUAUUAUUGAGAUGUCAGUCUCUCCGACGAGCACGAUUCCUCCUGGCUUAACACCAUGGGAAAAGAUAACCAUUAUGAGCAUUGCAGCCUCCGCUGUAGGAUUCACACUUCUACUUGUUGUUUGUAUUGUGGGACGGCACUGUUGGAUUAAUGAUAUUCUGAGGAAAAGAGAUUCAAAGAAACGGAACAACAAUGUGGGAUGGACUCUCUAUGGAACUAAUGGAACAAAGGGCGAUGAUCCUGAUAAAAUAUAUCUAUGGAGUGAGGAUGAGAAGAAUAGCAAAUCGUGUUUUUUUUGGCUACGUAGUAGCCAACAAAGUAAGAAAGCGCUUGAAAGAGGAAGUAGUAAGAGAUCUUCAGCCAAAUCGGCCUCAUAUCCUCCUUCUCUUGUGACUUCUUCUUCUCCUCAAAGCUCCACACAUCCAACAGGGCCCAUUGAAAAGACCCCAAGUUGCUCCUCAAUAUCAAGUGGAGAGGAACAAUCUCGAGUCUCAAACUACUCAGACUCAACUAUGUCCAUCAAAAGUGUUUUCUCUACAUUAAGCUUUAAAAAUCGAUUUCGAAACAAUAGCAUUGGAGAGGAAUCCAUGACUUCAAACUCCACUAUGGACAAACAGGAGCUUAGUGCAGUUAAUAUCGGCCUCUAUUGGAGAAUUCCGUCCCCUGAACAAACUUCGGGCAAAAUAUCAAUUUCCAUUAUGAGCUGCUCUGAUCUUCCUCGAAGAGACUACGGAGGUGCAGUUGAUUGCUACGUACACUUAUCCGUUCUUAAAGAUAGGGGAAGAUCGCUUAGAGGACGGAAUCCUCCUCUUUCCUUAUCCGAUUGGAGUACAAAAACCAUUCGACAUUCCUCCAAUCCUGUCUUUGAUCAAACUUUUACACUUGACAUACCUGAAGUGGAUUUUAAGUCUAUUCGGUUGAAAUUUACAGCUUAUGAUGUGGAUCGGAAUACAAAAACCUCAGAAAUAGGGAGUUCUCUCAUUCUAUUACGUGACAUUAAGCUUUUAAAUAAUAAUAUCAUGGAUCAGCGGAUUAACACAACGUCAUUUCUUGCUCAAAAGAAACAGGAAUAUGGAGAACUCCUCUUUGGUAUGAGCUAUCUCCCUACGGCUCAAAGAAUGUCUUUUAGCAUUGUGAAAGCCUCAAAUUUGAGAUAUGAGGCUGUUGCUCCGUCAGUUGACGUUUUUUUUUUCCCUAUGUACGAAUCCUUCAUCUCGGCUCGAACCACAAAAUCAUCAAAAAGAAAAAGACGACUAUAAAAAUGGGAAAACGAGAUCCGAUGUUUAAUGAGACACUUAACUUUGAGGUUCCACCUUCACAUCUAGAUUCCUCGACUUUUGUUAUCCUUAUAAACCAAAAGGUCAACUCCAUCGAAAUGCGAGAAUUGGACUCUAUUGCAGAGGAUACAUUUGAAAACAUUCACGAAGAGGAGCGGGGAUCAAAGGAUGUUUGUCUUGGCCGGAUUUGUAUUGGGCGUCGUGUAAAUGGAUUAAAGGAGCGAGCUCACUGGGUAAAUGUAGUACAAAAUCCAAGAAAGGUUUUUUCUACAUGGCAAACAUUGUAUUAAACCAACAUGCCCUUUAAAAUUAGUCAGGUUUUUUUUUUUUUUU